rnacentral:rRNA from 1 species
CUCUUCUUGUAAAAGUUAUUUGAAGUAUAACCUGCCCACUGAUAUAAAGUUUUGAAGGGCCGCGGUAUUUUGACCGUGCAAAGGUAGCAUAAUCAUUAGUCUUUUAAUUGAGGACUAGAAUGAAUGGUUGGACGAGGAAUACACUGUUUCUUAUUAAAAAGUUGAAUUUAAAUUUUAAGUUAAAAUGCUUAAAUUUUUUUAUGGGACGAGAAGACCCUAUAGAGUUUAAUAAAUAUUAAUAUUUUGUUUGUUUGAAUUAUCUAGUUGAUUAAUUUUUAUAUUUAUUUUGUUGGGGUGAUAGGAAUGAAUUGAUAAACUCUUCCUUUUAUUUAUAUAUUUAUUUAUAAUUUUGUGAUCCAUUUUUGUUGAUUAUAAGACUAAAUUACCUUAGGGAUAACAGCGUAA